CCCCAGCGCGGAAGCUGCUUAGUCAGCGGCUCCUAGGCUGCUGCCCACAAUCGCAUAAACGUGCAGGGUGCACCGGGGCUCGGGCCACGCCACAGUUGUACACAUGCUACAAUACGGGUGUGUCAACUCAAUCCACCCAGGUGCUUGCCAACAACGAGGAGACCAUAUUGAUGCCUGUGAACGAGCCCACCUUCGGCACGCCGCGCAAGAGCCAAAUCCAGACCUACCUGGAGCAGAACGAGGGGCCGGGGCUGCAGCACCUGGCGCUGCUCAGCAACGACAUCUUCACCACCCUGCGGUGAGUGGCCGGGUUCCGUAUUUCCAUGGCUUCAGCUGGCGCUGUGGGAACGCAUUGGCUGUAUCGGGCAGCCAUGGUGUGGUUGAAGGUUGCGAUAAAGUAACCGCGCGCUAACGACUACGCCUUACCCGCGCAUGCAGGGAGAUGCGCGCGCGCAGCGAGCUGGGUGGCUUCGAGUUCAUGCCGCGGGCAAAUGCGAAGUACUACAAAGACAUGUACGCCCGCAUCGGCGACUCGCUCACGCCGCAGCAGUACAGGUGGGUCGGCGGGCUAGGCCCGGCAAGAUGGCCAUCCAUCCACCGUCCGCGUGCAGGGACCGUUGCGGUUUGCUGGCCUGAGUCGUGAAGGCUUGGACAGUCUGGUAUGCCGUACACAAUGCCUGUGUUUUCACUUCUGCCCCGCACCGCAGGGAGGUGGAGGAGCUGGGCAUCCUGGUGGACAAGGACGACCAGGUGCGCACGUGCGCGUGUGGGCAUAUGGGCAUGUGUGGGCUCUUGUGUUGGAUUGUAUGCGACGGCAGGCUCGGCUUGGGGAGGCCUUGCCCGGCGGCACACCAAGGACCUAUCGCGGCUCACCAGGCAGUCUGGCCGCAGGCGGCUCACGCAGCGCAUGUGCCGCCCUUCGCCGCUUGUCCGCAGGGCGUGCUGCUGCAGAUCUUCACCAAGCCGCUGGGCGACCGGCCCACGGUGUUUAUUGAGAUCAUCCAGCGUGUGGGCUGCAUGCGGGAGGUGAAGGAGCCUGCUACGGGCGCUGUGGUGGGGACGGAGCAGGCGGCUGGCUGCGGCGGCUUCGGGAAAGGCAACUUCGGCGCCCUCUUCAAGUCCAUUGAGGACUAUGAGCGCACCCUAAAUGUGUAGAGCACGUCAGAGCUAGGCUAGCAGCAGAUAAGUAACGCAGGAGGUCACGAGAUAUGUGGUGGCGGUGCCAGGUGCACCGUACUCGAGUCAGGUAGAUUACAUGCUAGCAGAGCGAGGUAGCAUGCGCGCUCAGUAGGCUCAUGUCAGCCGCUGGAUUGCAAUGGAAUGCAACGGUGCGGCGCUACUGCGUACGCUCUUCAGUUGGUGGGGUGUGUGCGCAAUGUGCUUAGAGUGUGCACUGUGUGUGUAGCAAGUGAAUGGGUCCCGCGCACUAUGCUGAAGGUGCGUGGUGGUGGCGCCGCCGCAUUGGCCUAGAGCCACGCAAGCUUGUGGUGACCAGGCUGUGCAUAGCAGUUGCAGGUCCCAGGAGCACAUGGUCGUAAAAACAAAAAGGCCCUGUGUGGGGGGGCUGGCAGUGUAUGAAGGAGUGGCAAUGCGCCCAGAUGCUGCAGACAGGCAGUUGCUGCGCCUACUCAGCGCCGCCUAGGGGCUGACGCCUAGAGACGUCAUUUUGACAUCAGAUGACGUUAUGUGCGGAGCCCGCGGGCACUGCAGCACAGGGGGAUGCUGGUGCCCCUAAUCAGCGAUGCAUGAAAGGGGCGCGUCGGCGUGACAGACCAAAGCUGCGCGAGAGAACAAGAGACUCGCCGUUACACGACUGCUCUAGUCCGUCCAUUUGAAUUGUACAUGUCACAUGUGCCCACCCCAAGACCCAGUGCGCGGCGGCUUGAAUGCUUUAAUGUCAUCUGAAUACAUCUGCCCAGAGAGGCCCAAGGCGCCAACGUGCCCUGGGCACUACCAGGCCCCUGCGCAAGCAUGCCUGAGCAUGCCCAUGUGCAGCGGUUGGCACCCGAGCUGCGACUGGCGCUGCCAGGUAAAUCGCUCUUGACUUCAAUACGCGCAGGAUCAUGAUAUAUAAAAGCCAAUGCUCACAGAGCGAGUACGCUGGCUGAGGUUGGAAGUCGCGGGGUCACGCGGGGUCGCUAAUUUGGGGGGCACAAUUACGCUGAUGACGAGCUGCCGCUUCUCCCGUACCUUUAUUCGCCUACUUAUGCAUGCGUUCAGCGUGAUGCCUGAUGUGUAGACAGCUCCGGCACCCUUCGCCGACGUCAGAGCGGUGUCAGAGCGAUCGAGUGCAUCGAGUCUGGGGUGCGCAUUCGCUGCUGCUUUCAGCAUAAAAUACUGUCAUGCGAACUUGAUAUACACAACAUCAGCGCUAGCGCCGUUCGCCGUGUCUCCAGAACCCAGAAGGCCUUGUGACUGGUCACGCUCGCGCGACACGACUUACCGCUCCAUUUAUAGCCCAUACCAACUAUGGGAGCGGGUGGUGCAGGCACCGGAGAUCGGGAGGGGGGCAUUAAGCUCGUGGGCUACAAGAAUUUCGUGCGCCAGAACCCGCUUUCAGACAAAUUCACCGUCCACAAGUUUCAUCACAUCGAUUUCUGGUGCGGAGAUGCAACAAACACAUCGAAGCGGUAAGAGUUGCAAGGGGUGAGCGUUUUUCGGGCUGGUUCGGCUACGUGGAUGGAACGUUCGCUGGGCCACGCGGACUUCUGGUGUGGAACUGCCGUUGCAUACUCCUUGAGAGGAACAAACCAGCGCAUGAUGGCCCUCAAAAUGCAUGGCGGUGUUAACUUGUGUCUUGCGGGUUCGUGGGGACCGGGGCGCUGCGGGCGCGUGGCUGCGGUACCCAAACCUGGUCCUCAGGAACGACCGUGUACCUGGCACCUCCACCUUGAUGAUAGAGGCCUGCGAGUUCAAUCUAUGUGUUCAUGUCAUGCGGCGCAGGUUCUCCUACGGCCUGGGCAUGCCGCUGGUCGCCAAGUCCGACCAGUCCACCAACAACCAGCUCUUUGCCUCCUACGUGCUGCGCUCCAACGACCUGGUCUUCACCUUCACCGCGCCCUACAGCCGCAAGUGCGCCUCGGUCAGCGAGGGCGUUCCGCUGCGUCACUACAACAUCGACCAUGCGUAUGAGUUCAUCAACUCGCACGGGCUGGCGGUGCGGGCAGUAGGUGCGCAGGAGGAUAUGGCCGUGGUUGCCGGGAGCGAUGCGAGCUUCCGAUCACGUCUUGACUGGCCAGCUGCACCCUGCCGUCGCCUUACUUCUUUUCCCCAGGCCUGCUGGUGGAUGACGCCAAGACGGCGUACGAGGUGUCUGUGGCGCACGGGGCCAAGGGCGUGCUGCCGCCGGUGGAGCUGCGGGAUGAGGCGAGCGGCACCAGCCAGGUCAUCUCGGAGGUGCUGCUGUACGGCGAGGUCGUGCUGCGGUAAGGCGGGCUGUGGAGCGCGCAUUGAUUGAAGUGUAUUGCACACUAAACCCAGUUACGCAUGGCAUGGAUACAAACAGAUUACUAAAUGGGGAAACUGUAGAUGGCUGCACACGCGGCAACGGUGUACACCGGGGCUCGGGCCUGCGAUCAUGCGUGCGGUUGUACGGUUGGUAUCCGAGCCUGAAGUCAGUGCUGCACCCCGCCUUACCCCCGCACGCCCGCGCAGCUACGUGUCGGGCUCCUUCCAGGGCCCCUUCCUGGCCGGCUACACGCCCGUCACAGACUCGGCCGUGACCUCCUUCGGCCUGCAACGUCUGGACCACGCGGUGCGGCAGCCAGGGGGAAAGCAGGGCCUGGGGAAUCUGGGAGGUCCGGAGGGGGUUUGGAGGAUUGGUUACAAGGAGCUGGAAUGCGAUGUAAAAGGGGGGUGCUGCCUUGAUGCGCGGGCGCGUCUACUGCUAGGCAUCGUGAAGCUUCCUUCGCGCCUAGCUGUCCACAGCGGUGUGGGCUGUGGGUAAUACACCGUAGAUAACGCUUAGCGCUUCGUAUUUGUGCUAUAUUGUGUGCAGGUGGGCAACACCCAUGACCUGAUCAAGGCCGUGGAGUACAUCACCGGCUUCACAGGUGGGUACAGCACUCACCAAACACCAUAAUUAAUUGGCCACCACAUUGGCAAUUUGCACUGCCUCCUUCGUUUUCUUUCACCAGGUUUCCACGAGUUCUCAGAGUUUGUUGCGGAGGACGUGGGCACUGUGGACAGCGGCCUGAACAGCAUGGUGCGUGCGGCGGGGGUGAGACGCGGACUGGCCCUGAUUGGUACUUACGGGCUCCUUGGGGAUUUCGGGUUUACAAAGGAAUCCACCCCAGCGUAGAGGCUGCUUAUUUAGGGGACCCUAGGCUGCUGCCCACAAUCGCAGGUAUGCUAGGCCGCGCCAUACCCUCGGGCCACGCCACAGUUGUACCCACGUUGCGGUAAUGGUGUGUCGUUUCGAUGCGUCCAGGUGCUGGCCUCCAACAACGAGGCAGUGCUGCUGCCUGUGAACGAGCCCACCUUUGGCACGCCGCGCAAGAGCCAAAUCCAGACCUACCUGGAGCAGAACGAGGGGCCGGGGCUGCAGCACCUGGCGCUGCUCAGCAACGACAUCUUCACCACCCUGCGGUGAGUGGCCGGGUUCCGUAUUUCCAUGGCUUCAGCUGGCGCUGUGGGAACGCAUUGGCUGUAUCGGGCAGCCAUGGUGUGGUUGAAGGUUGCGAUAAAGUAACCGCGCGCUAACGACUACGCCUUACCCGCGC
rnacentral:lncRNA from 1 species